rnacentral:rRNA from 1 species
GACGAACGCUGGCGGCGUGCCUAAUACAUGCAAGUAGAACGCACAGUUUAUACCGUAGCUUGCUACACCAUAGACUGUGAGUUGCGAACGGGGGAGUAACGCGUAGGUAACCUGCCUGGUAGCGGGGGGUAACUAUUGGAAACGAUAGCUAAUACCGCAUAAUAUUGAUUAUUGCAUGAUAAUUGAUUGAAAGAGGCUAUUGCAUCACUACCAGAUGGACCUGCGUUGUAUUAGCUAGUAGGGGAGGUAACGGCCCACCUAGGCGGCGAUACAUAGCCGAGCUGGGGGGGUGGUCGGCCCCCCUGGGACUGGGACCCGGCCCCGACUCCUUCGGGAGGCCGCCGUAGGGGAUCUUCGGCCAUGGGCGGCAGGCUGAACGAGCAACGCCGCGGGGGGGGAGAAGGUUUUCGGAUCGUAAAGCUCUGUUUUAAGGGAAGAACGGGUGUGAGAGUGGAAAGUUCACACUGUGACGGUAUCUUACCAGAAAGGGACGGCUAACUACGUG